GAAUGAGAGAAAAGUGCCCUAGAAGCUAUUCAUUACGAAUUCACUGGAAGCUCUCAAACGAGGCUGGCAGAAGCUGAAAUUGAAGUGGUCUCUGACCUAAUUUUCUUCUGCGUGAAACAUCUGCAUCAAGGCUCUCUUUGAUGUAUUCCACUUGGCUCUGUCUAUGGGAUUGUAUCACAUGGCCUCGGUGUUGCCUCCUUAUUGAAAGACAUUUCCAGCCUGUGCAAGCAACCGUGAUGAGGCGUCUUCUUUAUGCUGGCAGAAUAGCUCUUGCCUUCUCCGUAGAGGCCUGCUGACCUGUCUUGUUAAUGGUGUGCUGCUGUUCCCCACCAUCCCAGCAUUAUGAAGUCCUCCAUCAUCCUCCUCACUGUCCUAAGCCUCGAGGUAAUGCAGCAUGCAAGAACAGCCGUGUUUCCCUCCAACAAAGCACUUUGAAUUUUGUAUCAUCUGUCUUAUCAGGCUGUGACAUCUUGGAUGCAAAGAUAGCAUCUAUCUUUGGAGUCACAGUGUCGUCCACAAAUAGUCUAAUGAAUUCAUCCCAAAUUGCUCAAGAUUUACUUGGUUUUAGUACAGAAAGUCUGCUGUCCUGGAACACCUCAUUUUUGGGCAUACUACUGAGUACAAAGUAAGUGCUCAAUAAAUAAGUGACUAAAAGAGAAAAAUCUGACAUCACCAUUAUCCUAUAAACAGUAAACUGUGGUUCUGAGGAACUUUCAUUAUCACCCCAUUGUCUCUCCAGUCAGAAGGCAAAAGUUUCUGCAGAGUCCCAGUCUCCCAGCUGUCAUGCCUACUGAACAGGCACAGACCCGUCAAAUCCACAGUCACAAAAUAGUCGUGGCCUCAUGGCACCUGUGGCAAAAUGCUGCUGUAUGCUCUAAUUUCCUCAAGAAUAUAAGAAACAAAUAAGAGAUAUCUUAUCACAGAGUAAUGAAUUAUAAGGCACAGGAGAGGAAGAAGAGACCAAGCUCCAAUCUACUGUGAUCAGCUCUCCUGGUGAGCUGAGGUCUAAAUGGCUGACAAGGAAGGCAUUGUGUGAUCUGGCCCAGCUGCCCAUUCUAACCUCACCCCCAAUCACUGUCUCCUUGUUCGGACUCCCCACUCCAACCAGAGAAUUGCCCUGGUACUGGUUGAACACAUAAGCCAGCUGCCUGUCAGUCCUUAUUCAGAACACUUGUCUACCUGAUGUAUUCUUCCCCAUGUGCCCAUGGGACCCACACUCCAUCUCUUCAUUCAAGCCAAGGCUCAGAGGUUCUUGUCUACCCCUCCUGUGUAAACAGCUCUACCUUGUCCUUCUGUUCAUCCUUUGGCCCUAUUUUUUGACAUUUCACAAAUGUUUUGAUCACCACCAGACACAUUAUAUAUUUGCUCGUUAUCCAUCUUCAGCAGUCCUGAUACAACUCUGUAAGAUAGUGGAAACACUGUGUCUGCACCAUUUAGAAUACCAGCCAUUAGACAUAUGUGGUGACCAGCAG
rnacentral:lncRNA from 1 species